rnacentral:rRNA from 1 species
AACGAACGCUGGCGGCAUGCCUAACACAUGCAAGUCGAACGAAGUCUUCGGACUUAGUGGCGCACGGGUGCGUAACGCGUGGGAAUCUGCCCUUGGGUACGGAAUAACUCAGAGAAAUUUGUGCUAAUACCGUAUAAUGUCUUCGGACCAAAGAUUUAUCGCCCAAGGAUGAGCCCGCGUAAGAUUAGCUAGUUGGUGGGGUAAAAGCCUACCAAGGCGACGAUCUUUAGCUGGUCUGAGAGGAUGAUCAGCCACACUGGGACUGAGACACGGCCCAGACUCCUACGGGAGGCAGCAGUGGGGAAUAUUGGACAAUGGGCGAAAGCCUGAUCCAGCAAUGCCACGUGAGUGAUGAAGGCCCUAGGGUUGUAAAGCUCUUUUACCAGGGAUGAUAAUGACAGUACCUGGAGAAUAAGCUCCGGCUAACUCCGUG